CGUUAGGGGUGCCGACACCGGCUGAGAAUCCAAUGAUGGAUAACCCUUGCCACCUGAUCAGGGUAAUGCCUGCGCAGGGAAACGCCAA
rnacentral:ncRNA from 1 species